CUCUUCUCUUGAGAGUGCAGAUUCUCUGAAUGAUCUGUUUGUGCCUAAUGAUCUUGCAGAUGAUGGUUCUAAUCCUAUGUCUUUGGAAAUCUCUAGUGAUGAUGGAGGGCUUGACAAUCUCAAGUGUGGUCCAGGGAAGCUGCUGGGAGGGAUUGCGUGGGGUUCUCUUGCUCUUUUGGUUUAGUUGACAACCGGGGCUUCUUUUUUUUAAGUCCAACUCGUUUAGUGGGAACGAACAGUAUCAGUGGUUUUGGGCAAUACAGAUGUCAACCGGACAUUGGUCAGAAAAUUUGAAUGAUAUCCAAUAGGAAAUCAGUCAAAUGUCAAA